UAUAGAAUAUAUUUGGUGAAAUCUAAUGCUAUACUGUUGCCUUUAUGGAUACCUGGGAAUAGGGAUUGGCUUGCUGUCUCUUUGUUUGUUUCCUUCUUUGAAUUGGUUCCCUUCUUCCUAGCAUGUCUAUGGCCCCUGCCCACACUAGCCAGGUGUUAAUUACUUACAGGAUUAAACCCCACUUUAACAAUGCCAGACCCUAAACCUAAAUCAUCCUAGCUCCCUUCAUUCCCUUUUUUUUCAAAUCCCAAUUCUGUUUUUGUGUCUCCAUGACAGUCUAAAAUGGGGCUCAAUAAAUCUGCCCUAACAUCCAAAUUGGGUCUAAAGUAGUGUUGAUCCAUUCAUGGGGUAAAUAGAUGUUAAAAAGAUAUAAUAAUAAGUUUUCUUUUUUAUGAUCAACUUAUACCCCGGGUAGUUUGUUUGUCGCCUACCUUAAAUGUUAUGACUGGAGGCGCCGUGAAGUCUAGAUUUGGAUCCCUUGUGCGUACAUGAAAACUAGGAUCUGACUAUUGGGCUGAUUGCGCGACUCGCAAUUUACCUCGGCAGUUGGCUCUAAAGGCGGGGUCCUGUGGCCUGUGGGUU